GGAGUUUGACACCAGCCUGGCCAAUGUGGUGAAACCCUGUCUGUACUGACAAUACAAAAAAUUAGCUGGGUGUGGUGGUGGACGCCUGUAAUUCCAGCUACUCGGGACGCUGAGGCAGGAGAAUCUCUUGAACCCAGGAGGAGGAGGUUGCAGUGAGUCAACAUCGUGCAACUGCACUCCAACCUGGGUGACAGAGCGAAAUUCCAUCUCAAAAAAAAAAAAAAAAGUAUCGAUAGAAUAUAUUUCUCAAAGGUCUGUCUCGUUGGUUUGUCUUACAUUUGCUUAGAAUUGGACUGAUGUUCUAGAUGCAUUUUUGUAAGCUGCACCAGCUGAGAUAGCAAUAAGCAAACUAAGAGGUUCUUGCCUAUCUUGCAGUCUGAGGCUCAGUGAGGUAACCCGACUCAUUAAACAUCACCUGACCCAGAUGACCUUGCAUGGUCAGAGGCUCAGCCAAGGCACCACACUGGGGUACUGAAGCUGAAUGAAAGCAGGCUGCAGCAUUAUCUGUACCUGCGGGCAGUCUCCUAAAUUAACAGCACCACCUGUCAUGGAGGUGGUUUGGUCUUCUUCAUGGUGUCUCAUCAUGUCCAAUAUCCACUCCAAAGGUGUUGAUUUGAGGACAUGCUUUUCAGCACUAGCCCCUCUCCUUCAGGAAUGCUUGAAUGAUGUUGUUGUAUCCUUUUUCUUAUUUGUUUGUUUUUGUUUUUUCUGAGAUAGAGUCUUGCUCUGUCACCCAGGCUGGAGUGCAGUGGCACAAUCUCAGCUCAUUGCAACCUCCAUCUCCUGGAUUCAAGCAAUUCUCCUGCCUCAGCCUCCUGAGUAGCUAGGAUUACAGGCAUGUGCCACCACACCCAGCUAAUUUUUGUAUUUUUAGUAGAGACCAGGUUUCACCAUGUUGGCCAGGCUGGUCUCGAACUCCUGACCUUGUGAUCCGCCUCUCUUGGCCUCCCAAAGUGCUGGGAUUACAGGCAUGAGCCACCGCGCCUAGUCUUGUUAUAGCCUUUUAAAGUGGUUUAUAAUAACAGUGUCUGGCCAAAUAAUAGCACAAAAAAACAAUUGCUAGUGUCCCAAGCACGUCAACAACCGUGUGAUUUGCUCAGUAAUGACAGGAUGUGGGCAUUUGCUUCCUUGCUAAAGUGGCGCCACCUUGUGGCAAUAGCAUAAACACAGUUUAUAAUCCACUCCACCAGCUUUGAAAUUGUUCUAUACUUAACAGGUUAAUUUUUUCCCCUAGCAUUUGUAUUAUUUAUAAUCUAUACGCGGA
rnacentral:lncRNA from 1 species